CCAAACAUAAGCGUGUAGGCCAGAUUGCUCUGCAGCUCUUUCCCGAAUUUAUGGAUGGUGGUGCAUGGACUGAUUCGUGGACUGAUUUGUGUGCUUAAUUGCAAUAAUAAACGAGACUCAAAUAUGUUGUAUGUGUGAUGCUUUCACGAUUACGAUGUUGAAGCCAUGAAAGCCAUGGAACCGUACCUGUUGGUUUUUUGGUCUUUUUAUAGGACACUGACUUCUUAAAUACACAAACUGCGUGCAGCAAUAAUGAAAUUGAGGAAUAACAGGUCUGUGAUGAUCUUAGUUG
rnacentral:ncRNA from 1 species